UACGGGGGAGCAAGCGUUGUUCGGAUUUACUGGGCGUAAAGGGCGCGUAGGCGGUCAGCACAAGUCAGUUGUGAAAUCUCCGAGCUUAACUCGGAAAGGUCAACUGAUACUGUGCGACUAGAGUGCGGAAGGGCAACUGGAAUUCUUGGUGUAGCGGUGAAAUGCGUAGAUAUCAAGAGGAACACCUGCGGCGAAGGCGGGUUGCUGGGCCGACACUGACGCUGAGGCGCGAAAGCUAGGGGAGCGAACGGG
rnacentral:rRNA from 1 species